rnacentral:lncRNA from 1 species
CGGUGGUAUUUUUUGUAUUCCGAACACGAUCAGCCUCUUGAUCUUUGCUAUUCUGAGCACCAUCCUUCUCACCAGGAUAAGCCAUGGCAUGAUUGAUGGCUUCCAAAGCUUUUUAUUCCUCAAGAACAUAGUGAAUCUUAGUUUGCCAAAUAUAUGGUUCUUGCCAUCUAGUUUUUUGCCUUUGUUAAGGUUAGCAAUAAUGUUCUUUGAUGCCAUCCCAAACUAUAUAGACAUUUGGUACAAAAUGAAUGCUAGCA